UGCAAGUCGAACGAUGAAGCCAGCUUGCUGGUGGAUUAGUGGCGAACGGGUGAGUAACACGUGGGUGAUCUGCCCUGUACUUUGGGAUAAGCCUGGGAAACUGGGUCUAAUACCGAAUAUGACCACAGAAUGCAUGUUUUGUGGUGGAAAGCUCCGGCGGUAUGGGAUGGGCCCGCGGCCUAUCAGCUUGUUGGUGGGGUAAUGGCCUACCAAGGCGACGACGGGUAGCCGGCCUGAGAGGGCGACCGGCCACACUGGGACUGAGACACGGCCCAGACUCCUACGGGAGGCAGCAGUGGGGAAUAUUGCACAAUGGGCGCAAGCCUGAUGCAGCGACGCCGCGUGAGGGAUGACGGCCUUCGGGUUGUAAACCUCUUUCACCAGGGACGAAGCGAGAGUGACGGUACCUGGAGAAGAAGCACCGGCCAACUACGUGCCAGCAGCCGCGGUAAUACGUAGGGUGCGAGCGUUGUCCGGAAUUACUGGGCGUAAAGAGCUCGUAGGCGGUUUGUCGCGUCGUUCGUGAAAACUUGGGGCUUAACUCCAAGCGUGCGGGCGAUACGGGCAGACUUGAGUACUACAGGGGAGACUGGAAUUCCUGGUGUAGCGGUGAAAUGCGCAGAUAUCAGGAGGAACACCGGUGGCGAAGGCGGGUCUCUGGGUAGUAACUGACGCUGAGGAGCGAAAGCGUGGGUAGCGAACAGGAUUAGAUACCCUGGUAGUCCACGCCGUAACGGUGGGUACUAGGUGUGGGUUCCUUUUCACGGGAUCCGUGCCGUAGCUAACGCAUUA
rnacentral:rRNA from 1 species